CCUGGGGGGCAGAGGGGACAGUCAGCAGCACAACAGCCCACCCUACUCAUAGAGGGCAUGGGCAGGAAAGGCUGGCUCCCCUGCCUGCAGCCUGGCAAAAUUUUGGGAUGAAAAUGUUGCACACCAGAUAUCUGCCUUGGGAUGAGCUUUUUUUGGUGCAGUCCAAGCCAUAACGGCAUGAAUGUUUCCUGGAAAGAGAUUCAGGGAGGAAUGCAUUGCCCAUGCUGAGAGACACAGGUACCCUCUAGAGGAGUUCAGGUCUUGGCUGGAUUGCAGGGCCUGGGGAGCAGUGUGAGCACCCUUGCACAUACCCAUGGACCAACACACAGCCAUGCUGUGGACCUGCACAUCAGCUCCAGCUGAUGCACACAGCGUGGUGAUGUCUCUGGGGCAGGCUCUUCCCCCACUCUACACAGAGCUGGAGCACAUGAGAACUCUUCCCUGCUCUUUGUCUCUGUUCAUGGCACACUGGUUUUUGGGACUGCUGAGGGUGCUCAUCUUCCCAGAGGUAUUUCUCCCCUUUUAAAGCCUCCCGUGAAGCAUGGGGAAGCCAAGCACUCAGGAAAGAGGAAAUGCUCAGACCCUACAGACAUGCAUAAAUGAUGCAGCCUUAAUUACGUCACUAAUUACCACACACUACUUUUUCCCGCAGGCCAUGGCCUCACACGGCACACAGGAUGGGCCCCAAGCCCUGGGCAGGGAGGUGAGGCUGUGUGGUGACGGAGGCUGCUGCCGGCAGGGCCCCCCACUCAUCCGCUGCAGAAGCUGGGAGGUGUGUGGUAAAUGAAGCAGGGUUGUGGGAAGGGAAAGGGCAGGCUCAAGCCCUCGCCUGCUGUUCUGCAGGAUGGGGCUCUGGCCCCACUGCUGCUCCAGGCACAGCAGGUGAUGCUGGGGAGAUGGAGCCUCUCUCCCUGCUUCUCUGAGUGCUGCCUGUGGGUGCUGAGACACCUUCUCACACAUGAGCACUCUGGAUAAACGCCCUCUGAACAGCCUAGACUGGAUAUCCUAGAGGGACCAUGUGCCCCAGGGCAAUUGGAGUAAUCCCCCCUCUCUGCUGGCAGUGUCAAACAUCCAGCAGCGAUGGUCACCCUAGCACCAGGGGCUUCUCUGCCUGUCAGGUCUGACCUGCAUUGUGAGGAGGAAAUGAGUAUUGAACAAGCACCCUGCACAGUGCCUGGGAAGGGCAAGGACCUGCCCGGUCAGGAUAAUGAUAAAGGGCUUUUACAUCCCAGAAGAGCAUGUGGUUGGGAAUGGGGUCUCCAGGCCCCCAGGGUGCAGGGCAGAAUGGGCAGGUGGAAGUGCAGACAUCUCAUAUAGACUCAUCCAUCCUGUGUGGGAAGCCCUCACACAGCCCCUGAUUAACACACAUUUUGGGUUAAGAGUUCAGCAUAUAAAACCGAGCAGUGGGGCACAGUGACCAGCACAAGGUGAAAACCCACCAGCCAGAUUGGACUGCCAGCCCCAUGCUCUUUCCAGCCCAGCAGAAGCUGAUCUGUUCCAUCAUCACUUAGCUGCCAAAGAGAGAUCCAGACACACUUCUUGCUGUCUUGGCAAGAUUUUGGCAUAAUGCUGGAGAAAAAGCCACCUUCUGUUCUCCUCUUGCUACUCCCAGCCAAAACCACGGGGCUUUGUGCCACACCAGUGUGGUAACUGAUUCCUCUGCAAGCUCUGGGCCCCAAAGGAGAUGUGAGUGUGAAGGGAGAGGCUGGUGUAGCCUGAGAUGGCUCAGCCACAAGAUCAAAGCUCUCAGGGAGAAUGAGCUGCAGUGCUCAGUGCUGCUUAUCUGUGCUGUCAAUGAAGCCAUGCCUCUGUCCCUGACCCUGCUGGCUGGUUGGGUUGCUCUACAGCCUGAGGAUGUCCCUGCCUGCUCCAAGCUUCUGUGGGAAGCAGUGCCAGCCUUUGCUGCUCAGGCUCACAGCAGGCAGGAGAAACAGCUCUGCUGUCUCUCUGGUGAGCCACUCUGAUUAGCAGUCAUUAGAUGAGUAAUUACUUGAGUUUGCAGUGAGAAAAUGAAAAGCACAGACUUCAGUGUUUAGCCCCAUGGUCAUGAGUUAAAACUAAGUUUGGUGUCCUGAGCUAGCUGCCAGUUCAAGCUUUUAGGUCAUUUCUAGAAGCCUUCCUGGGGUUUCUCACCACCUCUCCAUAAUUCCACUGAUGAGAUGCUGCUUUCACCCACAAGUUAUGGGAGUGGUAGAGGCCAGACUCGCAGUGUCUGCCCUCAGAAUUUCCAUAUGGAUCUCAAGAGCUGUUCUGCAGGAGGCUCUCAAUGGUCUUGCCUGCAUGGUGAGCUGGCAUCAGCAGCUCCAGCCUCCAGCUGAGCACCCACCCCUCUGGGCUGGGUGGUCCCCAGGGAUUUGCUGCUUUGAAUCAUGAAUGUCCCUCCAUUCUCAAGGCUCAGCAGCAGCAAGGUUUGUAAUGUGGGGGUCCUGGGAGACUGCUGAGCCCCAUGACCUGCCCCAGCUGUUGCCAAAUUUCACAUCUCAGCACAUGCUCUUCCCAAGGAUUCUCUGAAUAACCCUGCAGAGCUGGAAGCACUGAGCCCCAGGCUCCUGCCAUGAUGGCUCAUGGGCAGAGCUGUGCCAUCCAGCAUCUCCACAAGGACACAUGAUUGUCCCUCUGAAAAGUGUUGGCUAUGUUUUGUAAGCUUCUGGCCCAGCUAAGGAUACUCAGCUUUUCUGAGAAAAACCAUGCAGGUGCCAUGAGAUGGGUAAGACAGCAGUGAUUUAGGGUGAGCUGUUCUGCAAAGUGUGAGGUGAUCAUGGCUGAGUGUGCAGUAUUUCAGCACAGUCAAUGCCUCCAGGCAGUGCAGGGACCACUGUGUCCCUCCAACAUCUGCAGGAGGUGAGGGGAGAGCAGUGCUUUUACCUCCCCUUGCUGGCAAAGCUAGCUCCAAAGUCUCAGUUUCAAGAAGGAUGUGAAAAUACCAAAGAGAGUUCAAAGGAGGGCCAGAAAAAUGACCCGGGGCUGAAAAAGGAGUUGUCAGCACUGGCCUCAAGGCGCUUGAGCUCUUCAGCUCACUGCAGGGAAGCACUGAAGACAGCUGCAGCUUUUCGCGUCAUCGCAAAUCCACUUGUGUGAGGGGCCAAAAUCAUGUUAUCUGCAAUAAAUUACCAAGAACUGGUGACACCAAGCACUUGGAUGAUGAAUUACACACACCUAGCAUGACUGAAACAAACCUGCUGCGGACAGACACUUUCCCCAGCUGGGCUGGUGCUCCAGGGCUGCUCCUUCCACUGGCAUGAGUGAACCCCAGCCAAAAUCAUGCCAGGGCUGUUGGGCUCCUGCAGCUACCAGCUCCUGUUCAAACAGGACCAGCUUGGGAAUAUAGUUGCUCUUGAAACCCAGCUUGGUUGCAACCAGGGUGGCUUUUUCACUGAUCAGUGACCUCUUCCUCAGCCCCUGACAGCAGCUGGAACCUGUUCCCAUGUGGCACACCGUGUGCAAGGAAGUUUCCCAGGCUGGCAGUGCCCAUACCCCUUGCAAAGACGUGCAGUGUGGUGCUGGACAUCCUGUCAGGGGCAGUCUCAGCAGUGUCCACGGAGAUAGGUUGCUCCAACCUGUGCAACUGCAGAAAGGAUUUGUCUUUUGGAGUCACAGAAGACUCUUGUUGUGAGGGCUAAGCCAGCAGUACAGCUGUAGCAGUAGAGGAAUCUGGUUUGUUAUUAGUCCCACAGGAACUGCGGGAUCUUUCUUGGUUUAAUUACUUUGCAGACUCAUCAAGCAGUACUGCAGGUGAAGAGCACCUGAAGGCAGAGCCUUCCUGUGCCUCCAGAGCUCUCCUGUCUGGGAUCCCUGAUUUGUGGGCAGGAGGGGUGCUUGUGUUGAGUGAGCUGAUGUGCAGAGCUCAGGGAGCCUCAUCUUCUCAGCUCCAUGGGACCAGUGAAGAUGUUCAGGCUUUCCACUAGAAAGGGAAAGCCCAGAGGGUCCUACUUGAUCUCUUGGCACAUUUUACUUCAUUGCAGAAGUUUUAGAGACUUCAGCUUUUGGAAAUGAGGUUGAUUAGGCAGACCCUGAGGCAGAACUAUUAGCCAGACCCUCCUGUCCACAGAGACAUCAGGAGAAGGACAGACAUUAUCCCCUCUCUCUCUCCUAGAGGCAGCAAAGCAGCUCUGUUGCCCACCUGAAUUUGUUCAGCUCUGUGCUGUCCACGUGUAAGAAAAUAUUUCCAUAACCAGAAAACCAGAGUAAAAGGUCCAUAGCCCUUCAGUCUCCUGGGGACUGUAACCAGCAAAGGCAGCUGAAUUUCAAACAAGUAGGCUGUGAGCCCGUGGUGCACAAUCUCCUCUGGCUGGGGCUGCCAAGGCAUGGUUUUAUGUUCCCAAGUCACCAGCAGCAUCAGCUGGCUGCUGCUCACCCUAUUGCACUUCUUAUUGCUUCUUCUCACUUCUGAAGCUUCCCAAGUUCUUCCCCUGUGCCUUACACUCCCUCGAGUUCCAGCAGCCUGUUAUGGAGGGCUCCAUUCCUGCACCCUCAUCUGCUUUUUUCCACAGUCCAAGCAACCUGUGUGGAGAUAAGGGCUGGCUGGUCUGAGCACCACAGGACAGAGGGCUUUGCUCCUUUAUCCCUUUUAUGAACCUGAUGGCUUGUUUUUGGCAAAAGCAUCUUACAGAAAAGUAGUGAUUGUGGUUGUGAAGACUUGGAGGGAUGGAGAAGCUGCCAUUUCCCAGGGAGCCUGUUCCAGCAGUUACAUAUCCGCACUGUUAACAAUCCCACUCCUUAUUUUUGUCUUGAAUUUGUCUGGCUUCAGCUUCCAACCAGUGGUUCUUGUUCUUUCUUUUUCCACUAGAUUAAAGAUGCUCAGCAUCCAAAGCUUUCUCCCCAUGGAGGUCCUUACAUCCUGUUCAAGCCAUAGCUGCUUGUUCCUCCAGCAAGGCUGGAUAAUGCUGCUUUUAACAUUAUCCCUGAGUUUUAUGUGCUUCUUAAGUGGGAGUUCAAGGUUUUCUCAGCCAAAGCCUUUGCAAGGUCCUGUGACAAGCAGAGUGGGGCAGAGCCUCAUCCCGAAGUGAACAACAUUUUCUGAAGUCAAAAUCAUCAAUUUCAGAUACUAAUGCUGCCCUCUUGAGCUCUCAUGCCCCCACCCUCAGGGACAUGAUCUGUUUGCUGUUUCGUGUGUGCCCCCUCCUUGUGUGGGUUCUGGAGAACUGAACAGUCUCCUACAUUUGCUGCUGUACUGUGGAGUCUGUGAGUGAGCAUGACAGGGGACACUCCAGAGACAUCUGUGAAUAGGGAUCAAGGCUCCUUCUAGCCCCAAACAAGGGGGCUUCAAGUGGACUGACCUGCCAGAGGCUGGUGGCACUCGCAGGGGAGGAGGAGGCAGCACACAGAGAUGCUGCAGCGAAGUGGCCCCUUGCCUCUUUGCUCUGUCCCUCCUGAGCAGGACAGACCUCUGCUUUGAUCCUGACACCUCCACCUGUGAAAGCAUAGCCAAUGCUGACCAAUCCCUUUUUUGCUGAGGCCACAUCCCAGCAGGUGCCCCAUCACCAGUCCUCUGAAUCUGCUGACAUCUCUGCCUGGGCAUCUGUUGCUUUCACUGUCCUGAUCCUCUUCCUUCCUUCUCUAAUGGCUGCAAACACUUCAUUUCACACCACUCUUCCCUGCGUUGUCUCGUGCCUUUACAUCUUCCUGCAACUUUCUCCUCAAGCAAGUGGUCUACAGCAAAAUUCCUACUGUGGGAGCAGCAGCCACAGGAAUUGCUGCCAGGCACCAGUGUCACUGAGGGGACAGCCUGCCCAGGAAACAGGAAAGUGAUACAACGAUCCUCAGAGCUAACCUGGAACUCCUGGAAGGAGAACGCCUCAAUCCUUGAGACAUGAUAGAAAGGACAAGGCGGUGGAGUGGAUGCCCUGCUCAAACCUGCUUCAGGCAGUUGUGCCAAGGCUCACUGGGAGAUUUCCACAGGGCACCAUUUCCACUCUGCCCUUCAGCAGACCAUGCUUUAGCUUGACAUCUCAUGGGAGAGCUUUUCCCCCAUGCACAUCUGAACUGCCCGGGAUUUCAUCCCUCCCAUCUGUGGCCAAAGCAAACGUCCUCUAACGACAGUUCCUGCCGAUCCUCGCCUCUCCCACGCCUUCCCUGUCUGCAGGCAUCACUCCCACCAGAGUCAGUGCUCUAGCCUGCAGGGCAGAUGGGGGUGCCAGACGCCUGCGCAGCACAUUUACAGUCAUCAGGAACAGCUUCCAUGUGCGUGUGCAAGCUCCAGUGAACCUGCUCCCUGUCCCCACCCUUUGUCACUCCCAGACCUGUGGCCGUGUCUCUGCCUGCACGGCGCACCCUGCAGCCCGGCCCGGCCACCUGGACAGUGACCCGGAGCCGAGGGUCCCCGAGGAGCGGGGGGAACAGCAGCCACAGUCCCGCCCUGGCAGCUCGGCCGGCUGCGGGUGCGACUCUGCUGGCUGUGCGGGUGUGCGGCUCCCCUGCUGCCCAGGGUGGGGUUGGUACGGGUGGGUGAGGGCCGGCCCCGCAGCGCUGCCCGGGGAGGGCCGCAGAGGGACCGGCUGGCACCUUCAGCUGCGAUUUGCAGCUCCUCCUGCCAAGGCAGCUCCGCUAACGAGAGCACCGGGGAGCGGGGACGUGCGGCAGGGAGCGGGACCGGGAGCCGCUCCUGGCACCUCACCCGAGGGCCCCUUGCCUCCCUGGACCUGGAAACUGGGGCGGCCCAACCCAUUCCCGAGAGCGGAGGUGCUCGGGACGGGUCAGACGGACCUAGCAGGAGCCCACGGUCCUCCCUCCUCCAGGGCAGACAGUAACGUUCUUUCCCAUCGAGUUCUCCUCAGUGCCUUUGGGCGAAGCCAAGGAGGUGAAAAAUCACCUGCAGCAUCCAAGCAUCUGAUCACAGCACCAUUGGGCACAGACCUUCGCACUGCUGUGAUGCUUUCUCAAGGACACCAUCAAUUCACAGGCAAUAUCAUAUUGUCUUCUACCACCACAGCUGAGCAGGCAGCCCCUGCUGUCGACUCACCCUUGAUCCCUCCAGGACUUUCUCAUCCUGCAAAUGAAUCUUAUGUGCAGAAAAGAACUUUUAGUGUCUACCAAACUCAGUUUCUCACCGCCCAUACUCGUUAGAGGAAGGUCCGUGAGGAGCCACAGGAAAUGGAAGUCUGGUUUUCAGUUUUGGCUUUUCCACAGGGUUUGUGUUCCUCACACCCUGCCUAGAAAUAUGCCCAAGUUUUUUCUCUGCAUAGAUGUAACCUUACAGCAUUGUACAUUAAAGGAGCAGGAAUCAAUACCAAGGAUGGAUAAAAAAGAGUUGAGUACCACGAUACCACAUGGAAGAGCACUGAAAAACGUCUUUAGCAUUCUGUAAGAAUCUGAAGAGAAAUCUCAUGCCUGCCUGGGGUGAAAUAAAUGUAUUGCUUCCCUC